CACGUAGGGCGCGAGCGUUGUCCGGAAUUAUUGGGCGUAAAGAGCUCGUAGGCGGCCUGUUGCGUCCGCUGUGAAAGCCCCGGGGCUUAACCCCGGGUCGGCAGUGGAUACGGGCAGGCUAGAGGUAGGUAGGGGAGAAUGGAAUUCCCGGUGUAGCGGUGAAAUGCGCAGAUAUCAGGAAGAACACCCGUGGCGAAGGCGGCUCUCUGGGACGGUACUGACGCUGAGACGCGAAAGCGUGGGGAGCGAACAGG
rnacentral:rRNA from 1 species